UUCUUCUCUCUCUUUUUUCUCUCUUGUCUUCUCAUUUUUGUAAAAUUCUAAAAUUUUGUUUAAAAAUUCACCGGAGUUAAUCCAACAAGACGCCGAAAAGAGAAAAAAUCCUCCAAAACAGCAUAAAACAGCCAUUUUUUCAAAAAAAUUGAAAAAAGUUCGAUUUAAAAGAAGAAGAGAAGACAAA
rnacentral:ribozyme from 13 species